GGGCUAAACCUCUUAAAUCGACUAUAAUAUUUUGGCGGUCGCUAGAUCCAAAAAGUUAAGAGAGUUAAGUAUGCUACGACUACUGUGGUCCUAGGAUGGGUGACCCUAUGGAAAGUUGGGGCGUUACAAAUAAUAUCAGAGUCGAUUAUCAGCCGGAAGUGUAAAAUGAGUCUCUGCUAAGUCAGGAUUAUACGGCAAGGAGAACGAGACUCUCAUGCUGUUGAUUGUUGUAGGUAGAGUACAGCUCCCACAAGAUCGACUUAGGCUAGCAAAACGAAUCUUACAUUAUCUAGUAUUUGUAAAUCUGAGCCUGACGAGGACAUCAGGGCUUAAAGGGGGAAGGAGAAUGUGAGAUCCCAAGUGGUCCUCUCUCUCUCUCUCUCUCUCUCUCUCUCUAUAUAUAUAUAUAUAGAAUUAGGCUGGAAUACUAUUAGUAGUAAAACGCUCUUUUUGCUAUCAAGUUUAUAACCCUUGGAUAAAAAAUUGUAGGGUUAGGAUGAUAUUAGUCAGUUAGAGUUGAGUGGUCCCCCUAGGGUUGAGUGGUCCCCACUGGGUUAUAGCAUUUAAUCCAAUGGUUAGAAAUGAUGAAAAGAGUUGAUCCAAAGGUUAAAAAACUGAUAGCAACGAUAGAUUUUUGCUACUAAUAGUAGCCCAGUCCAACUCUAUAUAUAAAACUCUAUAAUAAUCACCAAAAUGACUUGCUAUUUGUUAUACAUGGUUGGUACUCAUAUUUAGGGCUUGUUUGGUUCAUGAUUGAAAUAGGAAUGGGAAAUGGAAUGAUGAAUCGUCCAAAAAUGCUUGGUUCAUUAUUGGAAUGGAAAUCGGAAUGAAAAUUUAAAAUUUUUUAGAGAGGGUUUUGAUUAAGAGAGAGGAAAGUGAUGAAGGAUGAGGAGGUAGGUGUUGAUNNN
rnacentral:lncRNA from 1 species